rnacentral:rRNA from 1 species
CCGUGAGGUAACCGUAAGGAGCCAGCGGCCGAAGGUGGGAUUAGUGAUUGGGGUGAAGUCGUAACAAGGUAGCCGUAGGAGAACCUGCGGCUGGAUCACCUCCUUUCUAAGGAGA